UAUCGGUCCCCCCGCAACGAGAAGCUGUGAACCCCGUCAGGCCCGGAAGGGAGCAGCGGCAGCAGUGGCAUCGUGUGCCGGGGUGUGGCUGGUACCC
rfam:Endosymbiont of Loripes lucinalis isolate G_E NODE_1_length_1221007_cov_62.6862_ID_1, whole genome shotgun sequence.